GUCAAGUGACACAUUCCACAUUGUUUGUCAAGGGGUUCAUCUGGCCACAAAGUAUAUAUAAAGAAGUUGUUUAGUUUAUUUAAAUGUUCGGAGUACUGUUGUUCUAAAGAUACAGAGUUUAAAAAAAGGCACCAUGGAGAAAAAACCUGGAUUUAGAAUGAAGGGGCUUUGCAUAUUUCUCAUAUUCUUGCUAAAUUCAGGCUCAAUAUUAUCUCCAAUGUUGGUGAUGGCCCAAAGUUCUACUACUGGAGCCGCUACUACUGCAGCACCAACUACUACAGCAGCACCAACUACUACUGCAGCACCAACUACUACAGCAGCCCC